UUCGUAGGCGGUGCGGCAAGUCGGGAGUGAAAUCUCUGGGCUUAACUCAGAGGCUGCUUCCGAAACUGCCGUGCUCGAGUGUGGGAGAGGCGCGUGGAAUUGCAGGUGUAGCGGUGAAAUGCGUAGAUAUCUGCAGGAACACCCGUGGCGAAAGCGGCGCGCUGGACCACAACUGACGCUGAGGAACGAAAGCUAGGGGAGCAAACAGGAUUAGAUACCCUGGUAGUCCUAGCCCUAAACGAUCAGGACUUGGGGUGGCUUCCGUUCGGAAGUCGUCCCGGAGCUAACGCGUUAAGUCCUGCACCUGGGGAGUACGGUCGCAAGACUGA
rnacentral:rRNA from 1 species